AUUGAACGCUGGCGGCAGGCCUAACACAUGCAAGUCGAACGAGUGGCGGACGGGUGAGUAAUGUCUGGGAAACUGCCUGAUGGAGGGGGAUAACUACCGGAAACGGUAGCUAAUACCGCAUACCAUUAGAUGUGCCACGAUGGGAUUAGACAGUUGGUGGGGUAACGGCUCACCAAGGCGACGAUCCCUAGCUGGUCUGAGAGGAUGACCAGCCACACGUGAACUGAGACACGGUCCAGACGACUACGGGAGGCAGCAGUAGGGAAUAUUGCACAAUGGGCGCAAGCCUGAUGCAGCCAUGCCGCGUGUAUGAAGAAGGCCUUCGGAGUUUAAAAUUCUGUCAGCGGGGAAGCGGUACCCGCAGAAAAAGCACCGGCUAACUCCGUGCCAGCAGCCGCGGUAAUUC
rnacentral:rRNA from 1 species